rnacentral:rRNA from 1 species
AUUGAACGCUGGCGGCAUGCUUUACACAUGCAAGUCGAACGGUAACAGGUUAAGCUGACGAGUGGCGAACGGGUGAGUAAUGCAUCGGAACGUGCCCGGUCGUGGGGGAUAACACUUCGAAAGAAGUGCUAAUACCGCAUACGAUCUGAGGAUGAAAGCGGGGGACCGUAAGGCCUCGCGCGAUCGGAGCGGCCGAUGUCAGAUUAGGUAGUUGGUGGGGGAAAGGCUCACCAAGCCGACGAUCUGUAGCCGGUCUGAGAGGGCGACCAGCCACACUGGGACGGGGACACGGCCCAGACUCCUACGGGAGGCAGCAGUGGGGAAUUUUGGACAAGGGGCGCAAGCCUGAUCCAGCAAGGCCGCGUGCAGGAAGAAGGCCUUCGGGUUGUAAACUGCUUUUGUACGGAGCGAAAAGGCUCUCUCUAAUACAGGGGGCUCAUGACGGUACCGUAAGAAUAAGCACCGGCUAACUACGUGCCAGCCGCUGCAGUAA